UUUUCAAAUGAAAAGGCGCACUGCGUCGGUUUUUUUGGGUUAGCACGAGACCUUUGUUUUGAGUUCAAACCAACUUGCCGAAGAACAGCACUCAAUCAUGGAUAACGCAGACACAAACCCAGAGCAAGCUCCCUCAACUGCCUGCAUCGAUCUGGUAAACAUAAUGAAAAGGCUGGACUCCUUAUCUUACUGCGUAGAUCAAAUGGCAUUGCAGACCCAGCUGAGGCAAUGUGAUCUGAUCGUGUGUGUUGGCCACCCUGACAAGAAGCUUCCUCUGGGAAUCCACGAGGCGCUGAAGCAGCAGCCCCCAGCAUGACAACUUGAAACAUGAAGAACAGAGAAAGAGGAGGAUGAGAUAUGUGAGAGGCAGCCCCUGACCUUGUUCAUCUCUCUGAGAGCAGCUUCAGCUUCACGUCUGGUCACCUUCCCUCCAUACCAACUGGGAUCCAAACCCUCAAUGCACCAUACAAAGACAGUCGGCUUUAUAAAUCAUUUCCUCUUCUUUCUCUUUUUGCAGUUACAAACAUGUGUUGGACAUUAUUGUUGUUGAAGCACAAAUGUAACAGAUAUUUCCAUGUAACCAAGCUUUUGAAUUAAAUGCAAGUCUGUAGAGUUCAGCAGACAUAAGGGUUGCACCGUUGUGUUCCUUUUUACAACAGCGCCAUCUGCUGGUCGAGUUCCCAAAGUACUGUGGUGUUCUAAAGCUUGGACAGUAGAACAUGGCUCAUGUGUGAUUCCACUUUGAUUCUCACCUGUGUUGGUUCUUGAAUUGAUUUAACCGGAGCAGGCUGUGUGGGCGCUGAAGGAACUUGAUAGCGUUUACUUAUUCUGGGGGGGAGAGGUUAAAUGGAACAUCAAUGAGAAAACCACAAUAGCUCAUUACCCAGAGCAUACACUUUUAGUUGUUUGGCAGACCCCUUACAAUACCAUUUAUUCAAGGGACCCCUCAUGUAUGCCCCUGUGGAUAAUUUGAUGUAGCCGUUUUUUGUCAAUUAUGUUUAACAACACAAGAUCAAUGUAUUAAAAAGAUUAUUAGACAUGUAUACAAAUAUGUGUGCCAUUAACACGUAACGCCUAUAAAACAAGGCAACUGACAUCAAUCAGAAUAAAGCCCAAAUUCGGAUUAGGCU